GCCCCAGUAGCUCAGUUGGUUAGAGCGCGGUGCUUAUAGGUGAUACUAUGUGCGAGGCAUUAGAUUGCUAAGAUACGCCGAGGUCGUGAGUUCGAGACUCACUUGGGGCA
rnacentral:tRNA from 1 species